GAUGCAGCCAUGCCGCGUGUAUGAAGAAGGCCUUCGGGUUGUAAAGUACUUUCAGCAGUGAGGAAGGUGGGUAUGUUAAUAGCAUAUUCAUUUGACGUUAGCUGCAGAAGAAGCACCGGCUAACUCCGUGCCAGCAGCCGCGGUAAUACGGAGGGUGCGAGCGUUAAUCGGAAUUACUGGGCGUAAAGCGCAUGCAGGUGGUUUGUUAAGUCAGAUGUGAAAGCCCGGGGCUCAACCUCGGAAUUGCAUUUGAAACUGGCAAACUAGAGUACUGGUAGAGGGGGUAGAAUUUCAGGUGUAGCGGUGAAAUGCGUAGAGAUCUGAAGGAAUACCGGUGGCGAAGGCCGGCCCCCUGGACAGAUACUGACACUCAGAUGCGAAAGCGUGGGGAGCAAACAGGAUUAGAUACCCCCGGUAG
rnacentral:rRNA from 1 species